AUUGAACGCUGGCGGCAGGCUUAACACAUGCAAGUCGAGCGGUAGCACAGGGGAGCUUGCUCCCUGGGUGACGAGCGGCGGACGGGUGAGGAAUGUCUGGGAAACUGCCUGAUGGAGGGGGAUAACUACUGGAAACGGUAGCUAAUACCGCAUAACGUCGCAAGACCAAAGAGGGGGACCUUCGGGCCUCUUGCCAUCAGAUGUGCCCAGAUGGGACUAGCUAGUAGGUGGGGUAAUGGCUCACCUAGGCGACGAUCCCUAGCUGGUCUGAGAGGAUGACCAGCCACACUGGAACUGAGACACGGUCCAGACUCCUACGGGAGGCAGCAGUGGGGAAUAUUGCACAAUGGGCGCAAGCCUGAUGCAGCCAUGCCGCGUGUGUGAAGAAGGCCUUCGGGUUGUAAAGCACUUUCAGCGAGGAGGAAGGUGGUGAGCUUAAUACGUUCAUCAAUUGACGUUACUCGCAGAAGAAGCACCGGCUAACUCCGUG
rnacentral:rRNA from 1 species